AGCGAACGCUGGCGGCAAGCCUGACACAUGCAAGUCGAACGAAGUCUUCGGACUUAGUGGCGGACGGGUGAGUAACACGUGGGAACGUACCUUUAGGUUCGGAACAACUCAGGGAAACUUGAGCUAAUACCGGAUAAGCCCUUCGGGGGAAAGAUUUAUCGCCCUUAGAGCGGCCCGCGUUAGAUUAGCUAGUUGGUGAGGUAAAGGCUCACCAAGGCUACGAUCUAUAGCUGGUCUGAGAGGAUGAUCAGCCACACUGGGACUGAGACACGGCCCAGACUCCUACGGGAGGCAGCAGUGGGGAAUCUUGCGCAAUGGGCGAAAGCCUGACGCAGCCAUGCCGCGUGAAUGAUGAAGGUCUUAGGAUUGUAAAAUUCUUUUACCAGGGACGAUAAUGACGGUACCUGGAGAAAAAGCCCCGGCUAACUUCGUGCCAGCCGCCGCAGUAACAC
rnacentral:rRNA from 1 species